AAAGUCGUAACAAGGUUUCCGUAGGUGAACCUGCGGAAGGAUCAUUAUUGAUUCCAGAGGGAUGUGCUGGCUCUCUUGUGGAGCAAUCGUGCACUCUCUCAAAUCUAACUCUAUUCACCUGUGCACACUUGGUAGGCAAGUAGGAUGGAAACUAUGUUUCCAUCUAUCAUUGCUUAUCGUCUUUUACACACCCUUUUAAAUGCCAUGAAUGUAAUUGAAAUAAUAAAUAUAACAACUUUCAACAAUGGAUCUCUUGGUUCUC
rnacentral:misc_RNA from 1 species